GACGAACUGUCCUAACGUUGUUCGGAAUCACUGGGCUUAAAGGGCGCGUAGGCGGUCCGACAAGUCAGGGGUGAAAUCCUGCAGCUUAACUGCAGAAGUGCCUUUGAUACUGUCGGUCUUGAGGGGAGAUGAGGGGUGUGCGGAACUCACAGUGGAGCGGUGAAAUGCGUUGAUAUCGGUUAGGAACUCCGGUGGCGAAGGCGGCACGCUAGACCUCUUCUGACGCUGAGGCGCGAAAGCCAGGGGAGCGAACGGG
rnacentral:rRNA from 1 species